GACGAACGCUGGCGGCGUGCUUAACACAUGCAAGUCGAACGGUGAAAGCGGAGCUUGCUCCGCUGGAUCAGUGGCGAACGGGUGAGUAACACGUGGGCAACCUGCCCCUCACUUCGGGAUAACUCCGGGAAACCGGGGAUAAUACCGGAUAUGACCUCCUUGGGCAUCCUUGGAGGUGGAAAGUUUUUCGGUGAGGGAUGGGCCCGCGGGCUAUCAGCUUGUUGGUGAGGUAGUGGCUCACCAAGGCGACGACGGGUAGCCGGCCCGAGAGGGCGACCGGCCACACUGGGACUGAGACACGGCCCAGACUCCUACGGGAGGCAGCAGUGGGGAAUAUUGCGCAAUGGGCGAAAGCCUGACGCAGCAACGCCGCGUGCGGGAUGACGGCCUUCGGGUUGUAAACCGCUUUCAGCAGGGAAGAAGCCGCAAGGUGACGGUACCUGCAGAAGAAGCACCGGCUAACUACGUGCCAGCAGCCGCCGUAA
rnacentral:rRNA from 1 species